ensembl:miRNA Mir194-2 microRNA 194-2
GUGGCUCCCACCCUCUGUAACAGCAACUCCAUGUGGAAGUGCCCACUGGUUCCAGUGGGGCUGCUGUUAUCUGGGGUGGCGGCUAG